CCUGUCACUGCUCCGGCAGGACUGGGGCUGAGGGAGCAGCAGUUUUGGCAGACCACCCAGAUGGCUUGGAUAUUUCGAUAACGCUUGGGGGAAAACCACACAAAGGAAAGGCCUUCACCCACACAUUAAGUGCUGACCUCGGCUAGACCCGCCUCUGCCAGGAAAAAAUACACACAGGUACGGGAGAGCGCACUGAACGGUCACAGAAACGGGAGUACGGAGUCUACAGCCAUUCCUAACCCUCAUCUACACGAAUUUUCGUCCAGCUACGGAUGGAGAUAGAGAGAGACCCUCAUCAGAGCAACGGACUGAGCUCCCAAGGUCCAGCUGAAGAGCAGAAGGAGGGAGAAGAUGAGCAAGGAAGUCAGGACUGUGAGGGGCUGGUCCACCCACUGAGGCAGUGUGCCUGAUCUAAUGGGAGCUCGCCAAAUCCAGCUGGACCAGGACUGAACGGGCAUGUGAUCAAACCAGACUCUGGAUGUGGCUGACAAUUGGGACUGACUGAGAAGCCAUUGAUAAAGGCACUGGGACUUGUUUCUACUGCACGUGCUGGCUUUUUGGGACCCUAGUCUAUUUGGAUGCAAAGCUUCCUAAACCUGGAUGUAGGGGGGAGGGAGGAGGGGGAGUGGGGAAGCGGGAGGGGAAUGGGAGGAGGGGAGGAAGUGUAAAUUUUUGAAUGGGAAAAAAAA